GACGAACGCUGGCGGCGUGCCUAAUACAUGCAAGUCGAGCGAAUGACGAGAAGCUUGCUUCUCUGAUUUAGCGGCGGACGGGUGAGUAACACGUGGGCAACCUGCCCUACAGAUCGGGAUAACUCAGGGAAACCUGGGCUAAUACCGGAUAAUCCUUCGAAUCACAUGUUUUGAAGUUGUAAGGCGCAUCGGCGUCACUGUAGGAUGGGCGCGCGGUGCAUUAGCUAGUUGGUGGGGUAACGGCCUACCAAGGCAACGAUGCAUAGCCGACCUGAGAGGGUGAUCGGCCACAUUGGGACUGAGACACGGCCCAAACUCCUACGGGAGGCAGCAGUAGGGAAUCUUCCACAAUGGACGAAAGUCUGAUGGAGCAACGCCGCGUGAGUGAUGAAGGUUUUCGGAUCGUAAAACUCUGUUGUAAGGGAAGAACAAGUACGUUAGGAAAUGAACGUACCUUGACGGUACCUUAUUAGAAAGCCACGGCUAACUACGUGCCAGCCGCCGCCGUAA
rnacentral:rRNA from 1 species